CCUGGCUCAGGAUGAACGCUGGCGGCGUGCUUAACACAUGCAAGUCGAACGAUGAUCCUCAGCUUGCUGGGGGGAUUAGUGGCGAACGGGUGAGUAACACGUGAGUAACCUGCCCUUGACUCUGGGAUAAGCCUGGGAAACUGGGUCUAAUACCGGAUAUGACUCCUCAUCGCAUGGUGGGGGGUGGAAAGCUUUUGUGGUUUUGGAUGGACUCGCGGCCUAUCAGCUUGUUGGUGGGGUAAUGGCCUACCAAGGCGAUGACGGGUAGCCGGCCUGAGAGGGUGACCGGCCACACUGGGACUGAGACACGGCCCAGACUCCUACGGGAGGCAGCAGUGGGGAAUAUUGCACAAUGGGCGGAAGCCUGAUGCAGCGACGCCGCGUGAGGGAUGACGGCCUUCGGGUUGUAAACCUCUUUCAGUAGGGAAGAAGCGUAAGUGACGGUACCUGCAGAAGAAGCGCCGGCUAACUACGUGCCAGCAGCCGCGGUAAUACGUAGGGCGCAAGCGUUAUCCGGAAUUAUUGGGCGUAAAGAGCUCGUAGGCGGUUUGUCGCGUCUGCUGUGAAAGACCGGGGCUCAACUCCGGUUCUGCAGUGGGUACGGGCAGACUAGAGUGAUGUAGGGGAGACUGGAAUUCCUGGUGUAGCGGUG
rnacentral:rRNA from 2 species